rnacentral:rRNA from 1 species
GAUGAACGCUGGCGGCGUGCCUAACACAUGCAAGUCGAGCGAACGGACGAUAAGCUUGCGUCGCUGAUGUUAGCGGCGGACGUGUGAGUAACACGUGUAUAAUCUACCUAUCAUACUGGGAUAAUUUCGGGAAACCGGAGCUAAUACCGUAGGAUAUCUUGAAGCGCAGUGUUCAAAAGUGAAAUUCGGUCUUGGUGUAACUUAUAGAUGCAUCCGCGCUGCAUUAGAUAGUUGGUAAGGUAACGGCUUACGAAGGCUACGAUGCAUAGCCGACGUGAGGGGGUGAUCGCCGACACGGGAGGUGAGCCACGGUCAUGAGUCCUAAGAGAGGCAGCAGUAGCGAAUGUUACGCAGUGGGCGAGAACCUGACGGAGCAACGGCGCGUGAGUGAUGACAGUCCUGGGAGCGUGAAGCUCUGUUACUAGGGAAGAACAUAUGUGUCCGGAAAUGAACAGAGAUUGACGGUAAUUGAUCAAGAAGCAACGGCUAACUACGUG